GCUGGGUGUGGUGGUGCAUGCCUGUAAUCCUAGGUCCUGGGGAGGCUGAGGGAGGAGGAUCACUAGUUAACUUAGAGAAACCUUGUCUCAA
rnacentral:sRNA from 1 species